rnacentral:rRNA from 1 species
ACGCUCGACACCUACUGGAGGCAGCAGUCGGGAAUAUUGCGCAAUGGAGGAAACUCUGACGCAGUGACGCCGCGUGCAGGAAGAAGGUUUUCGGAUUGUAAACUGCUUUAGACAGGGAAGAACAAAUGACAGUACCUGUAGAAUAAGCUCCGGCUAACUACGUGCCAGUAGCCGCGGUAAUCUGAGCGGGCUGGCAAGGC